rnacentral:rRNA from 1 species
GUGAGGAAUAUUGGACAAUGGGCGCAAGCCUGAUCCAGCCAUGCCGCGUGCAGGAAGACGCAUCUAUGGUGUGUAAACUGCUUUUGUACGGGAAGAAACACUCCCUCGUGAGGGAGCUUGACGGUACCGUAAGAAUAAGGAUCGGCUAACUCCGUGCCAGCAGCCGCGGUAAUACGGAGGAUCCAAGCGUUAUCCGGAAUCAUUGGGUUUAAAGGGUCCGUAGGCGGUUUAAUAAGUCAGAGGUGAAAGCCCAUCGCACAACGAUGGAACGGCCAUUGAUACUGUUAGACUUGAAUUACAAGGAAGUAACUAGAAUAUGUAGUGUAGCGGUGAAAUGGUUAGAUAUUACAUGGAAUACCAAUUGCGAAGGCAGGUUACUACUUGUGGAUUGACGCUGAUGGACGAAAGCGUGGGGAGCGAACAGGAUUAGAAACCCGGGUAGUCC